GUUGCCUUGUGCUGGUGGCUUAGGAACCGGAGCCCGUCGCUCCAACCGUUGCAGCUCCACGCUCCAGCCCAACCGCGGCUCUGAAGGAUUGACCCGCCCUGGCGUGCCCUGCUCUCCACUUUGGCUUUGGCCAAACUUUUCGGUCAGAACCCGAACCUAAAGAACUUACUAUGGGCCGAGGGGGUUCUAACUGUCAGCGGCCCCAGGAGCCUGGCCCAGGGUCACAGUUUUCCCCUGGGACUUCACCUAGGUUGCUAUGAUUACUCUUGCCCCAUUGCCCAGGAGGCGCCAAGCCAACCCCUGAUGAGUGUAGUCUGCAGAGAAGCCAGCAGGAUCAGGACAAACCAGUUCCACAGCAGGAGAGAAUCUGGUCGGGUCAACAAAGAACUUCCAGCCCUGAGGAUGUCUAUGCAGUCUCAAGAGCAGUUUCUUAAAUUGCGGGCCUCAAAUCUGCAGCUAAGAAUCACCUGGGAGAGUUUAUUAAAAAUGGAGGCCCUACAUUAGAAUAAGUCAAAAGCUAAGGAACUGACUUUGGGGAGCUUGUCUUUUAACACUUCCUAGCUGAUGGAGUUUCACUCUUGUUGCCCAAGCUGAAGUGCAAUGAUGCGAUCUCGGCUUACUGCAACCUCUGCCUCUCGGGUUCAAGAUAUUCUUCUGCCUCAGCCUCCAGAGUAGCUGGGAUUAGGUGCACCACCACACCAACUCCAUCGUCAAUGGAAUAGGAGUAGAUUCUACCCCCUAAGAAACAACUCCUCACCAUUCCAGUUUUAUCAUGAGAUUGCAGCAAUUUG